GAUUGGAAAGAGAGCACUGUGCACAAGCAUGAGACCAGGCCCCCCAAAACCCCACGGGAGCAGGGAAGUUCCCAAGGCACUCUGAUGCGCAGCAAGCCACAAGAACCUUCCGUUCUGCCUUAUGCUCCAGUGACCCAGCAGCAGCAAUCUGUGAUUUCUUAUUCAGCAAAGAACCUCGGUCCCAUUGCCAGGCCCAAAAGGACCACCAGAGGGUUUAAUCCCCUGGCCACUCCUCUCCUUGUUUCCAGAUACUCAAGUGUUAUCAUGCAAAAGUGUACAGUCCCUCAGCCUCUUCUACUGCAGCCACAGGUCGGGCCUCUGUGCAGGUGGGAGGAGGUGUUGCUUCCAAGGUGUCAUUCUCUAAUGUCAUUUCCUUUGCAGGUCCCUAAUGCCACCAAGCACGAUUCUGUUGCUGCUGCCGUAGAGUGGCAGAGGAAGCUGGAGGCUGCUGAGGCUCUGUUGGCUCUGAGAAACUCUCCUCUGCCUUCUCCUGUUUCUGCCUCUCCAAAAAGGCAUGGCAAAAUGACCAAUAGCUAUCUA
rnacentral:lncRNA from 1 species